rnacentral:rRNA from 1 species
AGUGAACGCUGGCGGUAGGCCUAACACAUGCAAGUCGAACGGCAGCACAGUAAGAGCUUGCUCUUACGGGUGGCGAGUGGCGGACGGGUGAGGAAUACAUCGGAAUCUACUUUUUCGUGGGGGAUAACGUAGGGAAACUUACGCUAAUACCGCAUACGACCUACGGGUGAAAGCAGGGGAUCUUCGGACCUUGCGCGAUUGAAUGAGCCGAUGUCGGAUUAGCUCGUUGGCGGGGUAAAGGCCCACCAAGGCGACGAUCCGUAGCUGGUCUGAGAGGAUGAUCAGCCACACGGGAACUGAGACACGGCACAGACUCCUAGGGGAGGAAGCGGUGGGGAAUAUUGGAGGAUGGGGGAAAGCCUGAUCCAGCCAUACCGCGUGAGUGAAGAAGGCGUUCGGGUUGUAAAGCCCUUUUGUUGGGAAAGAAGAGCAGCAGGUUAAUACCCCGCUGUUCUGACGGUACCCAAAGAAUAAGCACCGGCUAACUUCGUG